rnacentral:rRNA from 1 species
AACGAACGCUGGCGGCAGGCCUAACACAUGCAAGUCGAGCGCGCCUUCGGGCGAGCGGCGGACGGGUUAGUAACGCGUGGGAACGUGCCCAGAUCUACGGAAUAGCCACUGGAAACGGUGAGUAAUACCGUAUACGCCCUUCGGGGGAAAGAUUUAUCGGAUUUGGAUCGGCCCGCGUUAGAUUAGGUAGUUGGUGGGGUAACGGCCUACCAAGCCUACGAUCUAUAGCUGGUUUUAGAGGAUGAUCAGCAACACUGGGACUGAGACACGGCCCAGACUCCUACGGGAGGCAGCAGUGGGGAAUCUUAGACAAUGGGGGCAACCCUGAUCUAGCCAUGCCGCGUGAGUGAUGAAGGCCUUAGGGUCGUAAAGCUCUUUCGCCUGUGAUGAUAAUGACAGUAGCAGGUAAAGAAACCCCGGCUAACUCCGUG